CUAAACAAAAACAAAAAUAAGCUGUUUAAAAGCCCAAAAAAAAAAACCCUUCAGAAAACUCUUAUAUAUGCAUUACAUCAUCUCUCAGUUUUAAUGAAAUGACGACGACUUAAUUCCUUAUUACUCAACCUGUCACAAUCCAAUAAAAGACCACCCUUUAGUUUUUUUUGUUUUUGACUUUUUUUUUUUUUGAAAUCCAGCAUGAGAAAUACAGUACCUGCUAUGGCAAAAAAUACACAUAAAAUGCAACUUUUCAGCUUAUUUGUACAUUAGUAGAGUUUAACAUUUUAUUGUUUGUUUUUUAAGUGAACCAGUGAUUUUAAGUACCACUAUACUAAAAAAGUAAAAUAAAAUAUAGAAAAGGGGGGCCCAGCCUGCCAUGCAAGUGCACCUCUAAAGUGCCUAGUUUCUGUGUCCAUGUAAAACCAGUCAUAUGAGGAGCAAUUUCAACAGAUGGGAGUCUGAUUAAACCUCUAUAUUUAAGGG
rnacentral:lncRNA from 1 species